rnacentral:rRNA from 1 species
CGGCGCUGCCUUACCAUGCAAGUCGAACGGCAGCGGACCUUCGGGUGCCGGCGAGUGGCGAACGGGUGAGUAAUGCAUCGGAACGUACCCUAGAGUGGGGGAUAACUAUCCGAAAGGAUAGCUAAUACCGCAUAUUCUAUGAGUAGGAAAGCGGGGGAUCUUCGGACCUCGCGCUCUAGGAGCGGCCGAUGUCAGAUUAGCUAGUUGGUGGGGUAAAGGCCUACCAAGGCGACGAUCUGUAGCGGGUCUGAGAGGAUGAUCCGCCACACUGGGACUGAGACACGGCCCAGACUCCUACGGGAGGCAGCAGUGGGGAAUUUUGGACAAUGGGGCAACCCUGAUCCAGCCAUGCCGCGUGAGUGAAGAAGGCCUUCGGGUUGUAAAGCUCUUUCGGCCGGGAAGAAAUCGCACGGGCUAAUACCUUGUGUGGAUGACGGUACCGGAAUAAGAAGCACCGGCUAACUACGUGCCAGCAGCCGCGGUAAUACGUAGGGUGCGAGCGUUAAUCGGAAUUACUGGGCGUAAAGCGUGCGCAGGCGGUUUUUUAAGACAGGCGUGAAAUCCCCGGGCUUAACCUGGGAACUGCGCUUGUGACUGGAAGGCUAGAGUACGGCAGAGGGGGGUGGAAUUCCACGUGUAGCAGUGAAAUGCGUAGAGAUGUGGAGGAACACCGAUGGCGAAGGCAGCCCCCUGGGCCGAUACUGACGCUCAUGCACGAAAGCGUGGGGAGCAAACAGGAUUAGAUACCCUGAUAGUCCACGCCCUAAACGACGUCAACUAGUUGUUGGGAGGGUAAAACCUUUUAGUAACGUAGCUAACG